GAACGCUAGCUACAGGCUUAACACAUGCAAGUCGAGGGGCAGCAUGGUCUUAGCUUGCUAAGGCCGAUGGCGACCGGCGCACGGGUGAGUAACACGUAUCCAACCCUGCCGUCUACUCUUGGACAGCCUUCUCGAAAAGGAAGAUUAAUACAAGAUGGCAUCAUGAGUCCGCAUGUUCACAUGAUUAAAGGUAUUCCGGUAGACGAUGGGGAUGCGUUCCAUUAGAUAGUAGGCGGGGGUAACGGCCCACCUAGUCUUCGAUGGAUAGGGGUUCUGAGAGGAAGGUCCCCCACAUUGGAACUGAGACACGGUCCAAACUCCUACGGGAGGCAGCAGUGAGGAAUAUCGGUCAAUGGGCGAGAGCCUGAACCAGCCAAGUAGCGUGAAGGAUGACUGCCCUAUGGGUUGUAAACUUCUUUUAUAAAGGAAUAAAGUCGGGUAUGGAUACCCGUUUGCAUGUACUUUAUGAAUAAGGAUCGGCUAACUCCGUG
rnacentral:rRNA from 1 species